GGGAUGGAGCAGGUAGCUCCUUAGCUGUGACACCGAGGAGUGCAAAACUGGGCAGUCUCAGCAACGCCGGCGCGGAUCCAUCUUGUGGUGGCAGCGCAGCCACACGAGCGCGCGGGCGCCCUUGGGCGACGGCUCGCGCGCCAGCCUUUCUGUCUCUGAGCGCUGCAGCAUCUCCCACAUCACCUGCACGUCCUCGUAUGCGCACAUCUGGAUGUCGUCGUGCAGCUUCACAAGGGUGCCGCGGCCGUCUGAAUCAAAAGAAACAGGUAUCAGUAUCAGCACAUCGCACACCGGUACGGUUAUUCGCCCGGUUAAAGAGUAUAGGGAAAGAAAACAAAAUGAUCGAGUAUAUAGUGAGCUGAGCGCAGUUGAUCAGCUAUUUUCUGCAUAAAGGUAACAGUUAAGUGGUAUAGGAGGCUAAUUGAUAUUGAUACAGGUAAACUUUUAGUCUCUCUUGUGUGAGCGUGACAGGGGAAUGAAAGAUGUGAUGCUUCUGGGCUUCUGGCAGUCCAUUCCGGGACCGCCUGAAAGAUGCUAUGGCGCGGCUGCUGGGGCACGUGUUGGUCUCGGCUGCCGCUCGCUGUCCGUGCACUGCUCGUAUCCUCGCAGCAGCACCAGCAACAGACUCUCUUCGGGAGUCACGGGGAACAUCAAGCGCGUGGUCAGAUAGUCAGACAGGUCAGUUUCUCUGUUUAUACCAAACAAAGGUCCGAAACUCUCGUGAUUUUUCCUUUAGAAAAAAGAGAAAGAAAUCUCGUGAUUCAUGCAUGCCCCUGCUGAUCGUAUGUUAUACUAUCCCUAAUAAGCAAACAAGCAUGGGUUUAAAUCGAUUUUUAUAGUCUAUAUAUAAGCUGGACUUCUAGAAGACACUUGUAAUAUGCUUUGUCUAGGGAGAUGGAUCAUGGAUGGACGCCGUGCCAUACACUGACACACCUGAAUGUUUGGCGUACGCGCCACGCACCUCCACAUGAGAAAGUGACCCACGUCGUAAUUAUUGAUUAAACUAUGCAUGCGUAGGCGUGUGACGUCGACAACAACUACCAAUUGACACUAAGCACAUCUCAAGGGCCAAAAGCCAAUCAGUAAACUACAACAGUUUGUCCUAGACUGACGUGUGCGGGCUCUGCAGGAUCGUGACAAGUGCGCGUAGACACGUGCCCCUGAUGCAACGAAAUGGGUACAAACCUGGUGAUGCAGUCAGAUUGCAGUGAUCUUGCUGAAAAGAAAAGGAAAGGAACCCACCAACCAUUGAAGUUCCUUCUCGUCCUUGGAUCAGCAGAAGAACUGAUCAUGCUGAUUCUUAUUAUUAGCAAGGGCACAAUUGAAGCAUGCCACGGAGGCGUCGCUUCCAGAAGCUGCAGGACAAUUAAACGGAGGCGACGCAUUGUCGCACUGAUGCUGGUGUGUGUUCGUCGGUGCAGGAGCGGGAGCCUGGCCGGAGCGUAGCGCGCGGGGGGAGGCUGGUUGGUUGAUGUGCAGGUGUCACUCAUGCUGCCGCGCUCAUCUCUGAUCCGAUUUUAUUUUGGUUAUUUCCUACACGAUCCAGUGCAUCACAAGCCUAUAUAUAUAGGCUAUAUAUAUAAAUAUGUAUAUUAUUAUACUAAGGUUUCUAUCAAUCUGGAUCAUGACGUCUGCCGGGUUUGCCGCCCAGCACGAGAUAGCCUGGCUGCUGUCGGUUUAUGUUGCAGCGUCAUGGCCUACCUGCUGCCACACUCUUUGAAGAGUCCGGCUCCUGUUGGCCAUGCAUGCAUGCAUCCUCAAAUUAAAUAAAUGAAACGAAUGCUAUGUCUCGCGCCAAUCUAGCAUUUCUUUA